AACGCUGAGCGUGUGUUUGUGUGUGUCCUUUACACACACACACCUCAGCACGGCACUUGGUCCUUCAAACCAGCCAUCUUGAAUAGCCCACUUGCCCAUGCUCUCUCCGUGGAUGCUGGCAGAGGGCAUCUUUUCCCAGGAACCUGAGCAAGAGCCUGAACAACAGGUCCGUGCUCCUGGAGUAUGUUCCCGUCCCCACCAAACUCCAGCCCACCUCAGGGAUGCAGCACUUUAUUAGAGAAUGAUCCAUGGACGAGGCAAUUAUUCAACUAGGGCAACAUCUGAAUCUCUAGGGUGGAGGGAGAGGGGAAGGAAGGCAAGCAAAGCUUGAAAAUAUACCCCACAAGAUCUUCCUCCAAGCUGAGAAUCAAUACAGUAUUGCAGUUUGUGCACUGGGCACUGUCCUGAGCGCUUUAUGAGGUGGAUCCUCUCAUUCAUCCCUCACAACAACCCUAUGAGGCCACACUCUGGAUGCUGAGAGCUGCUGGAGAAAAUCACACCUCACAGACAGAGAAGAACCUCCCCCCACACGCAGUCACUUCCCAGAGUCCCCAUCUCUCUCAUUCUACCAGUGGUUAUUUCAAACUUCCACUCUUGAAACCUCUUCCCUACUCUCCCUUUCUCUUAUCAGUUGAGAUAACCCGUUGCUGUCGAGUUGAUUCAAUUCCAACUCAUAGUGACCCUAUAGGACAGGGUAGAACUGAUCCAUAGGGUUUUCUAGGCUGUAACCUUUACGGGAGCAGACUGC